rnacentral:snRNA from 1 species
GUGCUUGCUUCAGCAGCACAUAUACUAAAAUUGGGACGAUACAGGGAUUAGUCUAGCCCCUGCACAAGAAUGACGCACAAAUUCAUGAAGCAUUCCAUAUUUUU